rnacentral:lncRNA from 1 species
UUCAAAAGCAUUGGAGGAAAUCACCACCGACACCACAACACCACCAUUGAACCACCACCACAGCACAACCACCGAACCUGCACAGCCACCACGGUUCCAUCAUUUGCUCCAAAUGAAACGUUUCCUUUUCGUAGGAAUGCUACAUCUGUGAUCUGCCUGAACCGCAAAUGGAUUUACUUACAUGAUAAUUGACGAUGAAGUUUUGUUGGGAGAUUAUGCAAUUAAUAAAACCAUCAUCGGCCAUCUCUUCUUGUUGAACCGGUGACGGUGGAGUAAAUUGAAAAUCUGUGCGGAAUCCGGCCGGUGCCGACUACGUUGGGGUUUUGUGGCAGAUUACUUUGUGGCGGAAUAGUAUUAUUAAUUGGAAAUUGAGUGACUGGAUUUAUGAAUGCAACUACCCUCACACCAUGAGUCUGCCAAGGUUUCAGAUGGGUGAUACAUGACCGGCGGUUAUUCUGGUUGUGUGAGGGUUAUAUAGGAGUAGAUACGGUUCUGACGGCGGUGAAACGAUGGUGGGGGGAGACACGUCGGUGGAUGAAUGUUUGUGUCGGUUCCAUAACGGUGUGUCUACCACCGGUGGAGUAUAAAAAAUAAUAACUUUCAAAUAUACUUGGACUUAGGGGAAAGAUGAUAUCAUUUAAUGAAUUGGUGGGAUAAGUCCAAGCAUUUGGAACGGUGGCGUUGGAUGGUUAUGUGACGGUUUAUUUAUGUUGGCGCAACGGUGGGAUUAAUGCAAGUUUUGAAACUGGGGUUGCAUUUGAAACAAACAGUGGGGUUGCAUUUGAAAUGUUGCUAAUUACGGAAGGGAGAUCUAGUCUACGACCAACGGAUCUACUCGUCUUUGACUGGGCUGGGGGAAACAUGCUUGUGUGGACCUCACGGGGUUUCCCCUUUGGUUGGUUUA